CCUACGGGUGGCUGCAGUCGAGAAUCAUUCACAAUGGGGGAAACCCUGAUGGUGCGACGCCGCGUGGGGGAAUGAAGGUCUUCGGAUUGUAAACCCCUGUCAUGUGGGAGCAAAUUAAAAAGAUAGUACCACAAGAGGAAGAGACGGCUAACUCUGUGCCAGCAGCCGCGGUAAUACAGAGGUCUCAAGCGUUGUUCGGAAUCACUGGGCGUAAAGCGUGCGUAGGCUGUUUCGUAAGUCGUGUGUGAAAGGCGCGGGCUCAACCCGCGGACGACACAUGAUACUGCGAGACUAGAGUAAGGGAGGGGGAACCGGAAUGCUCGGUGUAGCAGUGAAAUGCGUAGAUAUCGAGAGGAACACUCGUGGCGAAGGCGGGUUCCUGGACAUUAACUGACGCUGAGGCACGAAGGCCAGGGGAGCGAAAGGGAUUAGAUACCCCAGUAGUC
rnacentral:rRNA from 1 species